rnacentral:rRNA from 1 species
GACAGAGGGGGCAAGCGUUGCUCGGAAUUACUGGGCGUAAAGGGCGCGUAGGCGGGAUGGCAAGUCGGUCGUGAAAUUCCUUGGCUCAACCGAGGAACGUCGAUCGAUACUGCUGUUCUUGAGGAUUGCAGAGGAGACUGGAAUUCCCGGUGUAGCGGUGAAAUGUGUAGAGAUCGGGAGGAACACCGGUGGCGAAGGCGGGUCUCUGGGCAAUUCCUGACGCUGAGGCGCGAAAGCGUGGGGAGCAAACGGG